CUGAUCUAAAAUUGUAUUUAUACUGCAGAAGUUAUUUAUAAGUCUACGCUAACUCGUAUACUUGUCUUUCAUUCCUUUUUUCUCGUGAUGAACAUGAAAUUGGUAGUUCCAGCUGCACGAUAGGAAUGGAUGGAUUUUCACACUGUUCAAAGGGAAAUAACUUUAGAAUUUAUUUUUAUAAAAGAAUACAAUAAACUACUUUAAUUAAUAUUAAGACCAC
rnacentral:lncRNA from 1 species